rnacentral:lncRNA from 1 species
UGACAGCCUAAAGGAAAUGAUGUUGACUGAUCUCUAGUAGCUUUUUUGAGGUGUGUGGAAAGCUUGGACAGAAGAAGCUCCACUUUAUAGCAUGUUUACUCAAGAGACUAUGUUUAUACUGUCUGUUUGCCUUUACUUGCUUUCACCAUACACUGGAGGGCUUGCAUAGCUGCUGGAAGUAACUGAUGGAUGAGUACCUGCUAGGAGGUGGAUCUAUCUUCAGGGUGUCUCACAGUGUUACAAGGUUCAUGCUACUUAUAUGUGGAGAAAUGCAAACAGAAAGCGAGAGAUGGUUUCUGAAAACAUGAACACAACCUGAGGAGCAGAUAUGAACAGUCUCUUCUAUGCUCAAGAUGUCAUGUACAACUGGUAGCAGACAGUCUGCCUGAGAAAAAUACAAAACAGUAGCUAUCCCAAAAUAUAUAAGUUGGAAGAGGUUGGACACUAAUGUGAUCAUGAUGCUGAAUCAGCUUUGUGCUCCGGGGUGAGUAGCAGGGCUGUUGUUGCUCUGCAAGGAGCACAGGAGGAGGCAAAUGGCCAGGGCUGCAUGAUUCUUUUAAUUAAGUUCCAGCUGCUCAGCCUCUGCACAGCUAGCUUUUUACUGAGGUGUUAUCUCAGGUUGGCCUGUCCUCACCUGAUGGUGUGAGGCUUCAGCAAAUGCAACAGCACAAGCCAUGAGCCAGAAUUACCUACCAGGUGUAGCUGUG